rnacentral:rRNA from 1 species
GUUCCUGUACGAUCACUGAAGUUAAGCAACGUUGGGCCUGGUCAAUACCUAAAUGGGUAACCGCUUGGGAAUACCAGGUGCUGUAA